UUUAUCAAAAGCUUUAGAAAAAUCAGUAUACACUGAGUCUACUUGGUGUCUAGAGUAACAUUGAGCAACCUUUCGUUAAAUAGACAUAUAUGCGGGAAACAUAAUCGGACAUUGGCCCUAAAAUAGGCGUCUGUGCGUCAACCUUGCAUGGCCUAUUCUUAAUCAGCAUUACAGGACCGGAUUGUGGAAAGGACUUACAUCUCUGGGGUCCUAGACAACCUACAUUGUUUCGCUGAGGAGCUCGAGUUUGGAGUAUUUCUCUAAGACGAAUGAAUAAAGGGGGUCUCUCAGACAGCCGAUACUACCCUCAGAUAGCAUUAGGAAGAUAUUACAUGCAUGGAUAUAUUGCAGCAAGUCAGGUGGAAUGUUACCCAGGUUCAGGAGUGAGAGGGAAUUUUGCUCAAAGUUCAAAAAGGCAGACAAAACCCACAUGCUGUCCAAUAAAAGCUGGAAAAACAAAAGGAUGUUCAUUUUAUAACAUCUGUCAGGCCCAAUUAAUCAUGUUUUCGCUUUGUGAAAAUUGGAGCAAACUUUUGGGGUUAUUGGACUGGAUGUACCCUUCUGUCGUCUUUUUUACAAAAGCGACCAUGAACGUCGAGCUUGAAAGAGAAAUUCAACCCACAUGCUGUUAGUUUCACUCCAAAUCACAUUAGCCUUUUGAUCCAAUUUACGAGAGUCAGCUUUUCACAGAGGUCCACAAUGAAGGGAAAACAACUUGAAUAAAAAAGGAAGAA
rnacentral:misc_RNA from 1 species